ACAGUGCUUGGUAUAUAGGAAGUACUCAAUAAAUAAUUUCUUUUAUUUUUAGAAUCAGCACAGUUUGAGUAACUGGGAAUGAUGAGGGAGGAGGAGGAGAUAGUUAUGUUUUCCAAAUUAUGGCUUUGUUACCGAGUGGAUAGUGGUGCCAUUCAUUGAAAUUUGGAAGCAAUGUUGAGAAGGGGGAGAAGAAGAAAACCUGUGGCAGUGGAGGAUGAAGAGACAUCAAACGUCUGAAGAAAUAUCUUGCUUGAUCAUCUAGGGGAAUGGUCUUGGACACCUUCUUUAUAACAGAAAGUGCUGCAUAGGAAAGAAUGUCUACCUAUGAUGAAGCCUGCAUGGAGCAGGACAAUGGCUCUCUGUAUCUGAUGUGAAGAAAUUGGACUUGGUUAUAGCAAAACACACUCUGGAAGAAAGUCAGGAAGAACUGGAGAACUGGAAAGGAUUUUGGAAAUCAUCUUAAUCUCAUGUUUCUGAAAGUGGGAAUAACAUACAAUGGAAGGGAGAUGGUGAUGGGCUUCAGAACGCGCUACCUCAAAAUGUGGCACCCUGACACGCUGAAUAUUUUUUGCUGAAGAAGUUUGAGAAAACGGCAAAAGCAGGAAGGUAGGUCACUAUUGGUCGUAAAACUCUC
rnacentral:lncRNA from 1 species